GUACUGAAACGUAAAUCUGAAGGAGGAUUUAGCAGUAAGCAGGAAAUAGAGCGUCCCGCUGAAACUGGCCCUGAAGCGCGCACACACCGCCCGUCACUCUCCCCAAAAACACCAAUCAAUUAACUAAAACCUAAUAAUUAAAAAGGGGAGGCAAGUCGUAACAUGGUAAGUGUACCGGAAGGUGCGCUUGGAAAAAUC
rnacentral:rRNA from 1 species